AUAAUCAAUUGCUCUAACCCAAAGACAAUUUUAUAACCCAGAAGAAACAAUUAAAUUAUUUGCCCAAUUCCAAAACCCCAAAUUAAUAUUCAUUUGAUCUCUCUCUACAGCUUCAUGAGUAAACCCUUUUUCUAAUCAAUUUCAAAGACUCCAACUCACCUCCCUCCAUCUCCAUUCUCUGAAAUUUGAAUCGUCUUCUCCAGGUAGCUAUUUAUUUUUAUUGUGGUUUUAUAUAUACGGUAUCAAUUGCAUAUUUAUUCCGUAGCAAUUGGUUCGCGAGUUUUUAAUUUAAUCAUGUUCUUCUUUAUGAUAUGGCUUUUGAGGAUUUGUGUAUUAUAAUCAAAUAUAUUAAUAUAAUUUGCCUCUUAAAAUCGUGGGACAAGGUUUUGGUCAGUUAGGUUGAUUGAUUUUCUAAUUUCUAUAGGUUGCAGUUGCUUUUUUUUUUUUUUUUUCACGAUUAUGGAGAAAAAUUGGUUGAGUUACUCACUGAACAGUGAUCACAAUAGUAAUUAAAUUUUUUAUUUUUUUUUUCUAAAUUUCUUCUAAAAAUGUUUUUAGUUUUUAAUUUUCAGUAUAUCCACUAUUUUCUACAUACGUCUCAAUUUUUACUUUCUAUUUUUUCUUUUAAAUUGUUUUCUUCUAAUUGUAAUUUUAUUUUGCAAUAAUAGUGUCUGCACUACUUAGCUAAACCUUCAUUUCGAAAUUCAAAUUCGAAGGUGCAGAUGUGUAGUGGCGUAGGAAAAGGUUGAAAUUUGAGUAUAGUCUUCUAGUGAGUAAAUGUCCUCACUCCUCAUUUCACUAUUUGUGGUCUUGUCGGCAAUAUUGAAAGUGAACAAUAUUGUCUUGUCGGCUUAAUGAGUUGUUUUUGUUGCUUGUUGGUUUAAUGAAUUGUUUUUGAUGCAUUGUUACCUUAACAAAUUAUUUUUGAAUUCCGAAAUUGCAAUAAAUUUUCAAGGCACAAAUGCAGUCCCGCAGACAUGUAGGAAAAGCAAAAACUUGAAUAAGAAAAUGUCCUCAUCUAUCUACUUAUUGACUUGCCAACAAAAUAUUGAAAUUGAAUGUUGUUGUCUACUUAUCUAAGUUGUCUUGAUGGUAAAUUAGUUAAUUAAUUAUUGUUGAAAUGUUGGCUUGAUGACGACAUGUUGUUAGUCUGUUGCCUUGUUAAUGAUUGUUGUUGUUGUCUUGUCGGCCCAAUGAUUUAUUUUUGUUGCUGUGUCAGCUUAACAAAUUAUUUUUUGAUUGUUGUUGGAGUA
rnacentral:lncRNA from 1 species